AGUUUCAAACCUUUAAUUCCGCCAUUUUGAUACCCCCAAUUUUUCAUUCUCCCUUUUAUUACCGCCCCCAAAUCCCUAUUCUUUAUUCUUUAUCAUCUUCCCUCUUUAGCCUGGUGCCAGUUGCCAGAACCGUCAAGAGAACAAGACGGGAAGGAGACUCCCUAUGGAGGUAGCCGCUUGGGAGUUUCCGGUUACCCAUAAAAAUUUGAAAGCAAUUUUAGGCACUAGUGGGUUUCAAGUUUAAUCAAAUCGGAGGUAAACUAUUUCUUUGUUUGAAAUCAAUUAUGAAGGUACGAGAGGUUGUUUCUGUGUGUUUUUAGUUUUUUCAUUUUGUAUUAAACGCCAUAUGUGCGUGUUAAUGUGUAUACUUCUUACACUCGGUUUGGGCGUAAAUUGUAAGUUUGGUAUGUUCAUAAUCAGACCAAUCGUGAUGAGAAGCGGUUGACGAAGAAGCAAAACUUACUACAAUGCAGCUUGUUUGGGGAUUUUAAAGUGCCUAAGCUUUCCGCUCCUUGUAUUAUUCACAGUUGUCUUCUCAUGGUAAAUAUUUCAUUUGAAUUUCCUACAUUUGUAAUUAUUGUAUCAAGAAAAUUUGACAUGUUUUUGUUUAUAAUGUACAAUUAAUGUAACACUACGGAAAAGUUUUAUUCCCUUGAAUUUUAAUAUGUUUUCAUGUACUCAUUAUUCAGUUAAUAAUAAUUUAUUCUAGUAUGCAGAUCAUCAUUAAUAUAACUUGGUUGCAGUCGCUAGAUACCUCAUUGUCACACAAAAUUGGAUAGAUCAUCAUUAUGGAGUUUUGAUUCUUUCAAACAAAUGAGAUGUUGUGGAGCCUGGGUUCUUUUAAAACCAUUCAUCCUUAGUAUUAAUGUUUUAUUAAGAGUGAUGUGCUAAUUUAUUAGUACCGGUGCAACGGGUCGAAGGAAUGAAUAACAAAGUUGGGUAGAAUGAAACAAGAGAGAAGUAUGCUAUGAUGGAGAAAAUUGAAGAAAAGUGAAGUUGCAUGCUUAAGUGAAUGAGAGAUUGUGAUUGUUGUUAAAUAGCAUUUGCCAUAAAAGUUUAUAGCAAGUUAAAAUAUGGUUUUAUGUUAGUAAACAAAUUAUUACGAAUAUUAAUUGUAUUGCUUUUAGAUAAUUUAUAUCUUUACUUUGUUACUGU
rnacentral:lncRNA from 1 species